GAUGAACGCUGGCGGCGUGCUUAACACAUGCAAGUCGAACGGACAGGCCCUAGCUUGCUGGGGUACUCGAGUGGCGAACGGGUGAGUAACACGUGGGUGAUCUGCCCUGCACUUUGGGAUAAGCUUGGGAAACUGGGUCUAAUACCGAAUAUGACCACUUCUUGGAUGUUGUGGUGGAAAGCUUUUGCGGUGUGGGAUGAGCCUGCGGCCUAUCAGCUUGUUGGUGGGGUAAUGGCCUACGAAGGCGGCGACGGGUAUCCGGCCUGAGAGGGUGUACGGACACAUUGGAACGGAGAUACGGCCCAGACUCCUACGGGAGGAAGCAGUGGGGAAUAUUGCACAAUGGACGCAAGCCUGAUGCAGCGACGCCGCGUGGAGGAUGAAGGCCUUCGGGCUGUAAACUCCUUUCGCCAUCGACGAAGCCGCUUGUGGUGACGGUAGGUAGAUAAGAAGCACCGGCUAACUACGUGCCAGCCGCCGCCGUAA
rnacentral:rRNA from 1 species